rnacentral:rRNA from 1 species
AACGAACGCUGGCGGCAUGCCUAACACAUGCAAGUCGAACGAGACUUCGGUCUAGUGGCGGACGGGUGAGUAACGCGUAGGAACCUGCCAAGCAGUGGGGAAUAACAGCUGGAAACGGCUGCUAAUACCGCAUACGCCCUUCGGGGGAAAGAUUUAUCGCUGUUUGAGGGUCCUGCGUUCGAUUAGCUAGUUGGUGAGGUAACGGCCCACCAAGGCGACGAUCGAUAGCUGGUCUGAGAGGAUGAUCAGCCACACUGGGACUGAGACACGGCCCAGACUCCUACGGGAGGCAGCAGUGGGGAAUAUUGCACAAUGGACGAAAGUCUGAUGCAGCAACGCCGCGUGGAGGAUGACACAUUUCGGUGCGUAAACUCCUUUUAUAUAGGAAGAUAAUGACGGUACUAUAUGAAUAAGCACCGGCUAACUCCGUGCCAGCAGCCGCGGUA